rnacentral:lncRNA from 1 species
GGGGGGGCCGGAGGAGGCAGGAUCCGCCGCGGGGGACUCCCUGGGAUCCCAGGUGAGUCUCCCCAACCGCAAUCACCGGCGUGGGAUCGCCAGCGAUCGGUAAGUAACAGAAACUAGAGGGCGUAUUAUUACGCCCUGCGGCGUUUAGAGACGCUUAGAAUAGGGCGUAAUAGUACGCCCUCCAGUUUUAAGGGGUUAAAAGUGAACUUAAAUACAUUUAACAUUCUGAAACAUGUACAGUUAUUGCUUUCUUAUAUUCUAUUCCCAUACGCACAUUUUGAAGUUCGCUUUUAAUCACAGGUUUGGCAUAUGUUAUAUAAUAAGGUUUUUAAAACAUUAACACUUUGCAAACUACAACUUUUUUUUUUAAUUUCUUUCACCUUUUGGGGUUUUAUUUGCAAGAGGGGCAAUAAAACCUUUUCUUUGAUUGCAAACAUUUGUCAUCUUUUUUUAACCCAACACAACUGAAGUGAAACCACAGCUUGAACGCAAAACAUUCCACCAUGGGAGUUUUUGACCUGUAAAUAUGACGCUUACAAUGAACUGUAAGUUCAACUCGCUUAAAAAAAAGCAACAAUUUUUUCUGGUGCAUUCAAUAUCUUGUGUGGAAACAUUAUCGUCUUUUCAGCAAGACUAUUAACUAAGUGGGUCCUCAUUUUACUUUGCUGUAGAUUCAGCAUGUUUAAAUCAAAUCUACUUGCAAGGGCUACAGCAUUAGCAAUCGCAAAUACUCCACAGUCACUGCCUCCCUCUUGCUUUUGAUGGCAAAUAUGGUCCAGUUUUAAGACCAUAUCAGCUCCACUCAAUAAAGGCCUGUCCAAUUUUACCAGUAGUUCUUUUAGUGUAUGUUGCAUUAGAGGAGUCAUACACUAUAACAGUAGUACUAUGUCUGUGAGAUACAACCCAAUGAUUGGACACAUGAUGAAUUUGCAGGGUUUGCUCACAUUCAGGUGCUUGGAGUAAUGUGUCAAUAUACAUUUAUAAUGUUGUCACCCAACCAGUUAUUUUUCUCAAUAUCCCAUUUGUCACUGUAAGUGAGCGAAAUAUUAUUUAUAGUCACCCAUUUAUCUGAUGGAUUUAAGUCAACCACUCUUGCAGAAGGAUCUUCACUACUUUCCCAAACAUCUUGUUUUUGCAUGUCCGCUUUGGACCCAAAUCGUUGUGAUCCUAGCGUUUUAGGCUUUCCAUAUGCUCUUGGUAAAGGCUUCAGAUUUUUCUAAAGUUUGGAUUUCUGGAGAGACUCAAGCAGAUGGAGUCCAUGGUCUACAGGUAUUUUAAGUUUUGCGCCUUGGAGCAGAUCUUUGAUUGAGGAAUCCAAUUCCCCAAGAUAAUCUUCAUCCUUGACUUAAUGCACAGAAUCCAAGAGACGCUUUAAAUUCUGUGUACAGCUACGCAGUAAUGUAACGCUUUGCUCUCCUGCAUGGUGGAAGUGGAGUAAAAUUUUCAAGGUGGAAUAAGGUAGGGCUAUUAAAAUCUGGAAUUUCUGUUCCUAGCUUGUGCUCAAAAUGCAAUAAUAAAAAAAUAAAAAAACAUUCUAAAUCGAAAGAGAACAGGGGAUUACUUGAAUAUGAUAAAUAGAGCUCUUCACAUUCCUAUCCAUCCACAAAUUUAAAAAUGCAGCACAUGUGCUUACAAGGUAAGGAAUGUUUUUGCCAAUCCUCACAUGUGAUUAUUGGUACAUUUCCAGAACAAUUAACGGUAUAUUCUUGAGAUUUUUGUGAUUUGCUUUUUCCUUUCAACAGUCCUACUGUGUAGUUGACAUUGGUGAUAUCAUCCAAAAAUGCAGGAACAACUUUAUAUCGCCAGUACAGUUCAGAACUUUGUGAAUUCCUUUGCACAUAUCUGAAAAAUAGUUUUAAAAAUGUAAAUAUCAAAUUCAACCAUGUUUACUACAGGCU